AUGAGCAGCACACGUGCAAUUCUCUCGACCAAAAACGAGCAUGUGGAUGACCUGAAUGACAAGAUGAUCUCCAAGUUUCCAGGCGAAGAAAAGGUGUACCAUAGCUUUGGUUAUAUCGAGGAUGACUUCCAGAAUAAUUACACGAUUGACUUCCUGAACUCGAUCACACCAAAUGGGUUGCCCCCGCAUGUCUUGAGAGUAAAAAUCAACUGCCUAGCCAUUUUGCUACGGAACCUCGACCCUCAUAAUGGGCUAUGUAAUGGAACACAGCUUAUGAUCAGGGCCUUCCAGGAUAAUGCAAUUGAUGUAGAGAUUGUUGGUGGCCAGCAUGCUGGAAAGAGGGUGUUCAUACCUAGGAUCCCUAUGUCACCCUCCGAGGACACCUCACUUCCCUUCAAGCUUAAGAGAAAACAGUUCCCUAUCCGCCUGAGUUUUGCGAUGACCAUUAACAAGGUUUUG
rnacentral:rRNA from 1 species